rnacentral:snRNA from 1 species
ACUAUUAUAUCCUCAGCUACA